ACGAACGCUGGCGGCGUGCCUAAACAUGCAAGUCGAACGGAGCCCUUCGGGCUCAGUGGCGAACGGCGGAGUAAAUACGUGAACAACGUGCCCUAAAGACCGGGAUAGUCAGUGGAAACGCUGGGUAAUACCGGAUGUGGAGGUUUUCUAGGCCAUCAGGAGACUUUUUUAAAUGGUUUUUUUUCGCUUUAGGAGCGGCUCACGGCCUAUCAGGUAGUUGGUGGGGUGAAGGCCUACCAAGCCGACGACGGGUUAGCGGGUCUGAGAGGAUGACCCGCUCGAGUGGGACUGAGACACGGCCCACACACCUACGGGUGGGCAGCAGUUGGGAAUCUUGCACAAUGGGGGAAACCCUGAUGCAGCGACGCCGCGUGGGAGGACGACGGGUCUAGGCCUGUAAACUCCUUUUACCAGGAAAAGACUUAGGACGGUACCUGGUGAAUAAGCACCGGCUAACUACGUGCCAGCAGCCGCGGGUAAGACGUAGGGUGCAAGCGUUUGUCCGGAUUUUACUGGGCGUAAAGGGCGCGUAGGCGGGCUCGUUAAGUGUGAAGUGAAAUCCCUAGGGCUCAACCCAGGAACUGCUUUACAUACUGGCGGGCUUGAGGAUCGAAAAGAGGGCUUGUGGAAUUCCUGGUGUAGCGGUGGAAUGAAUAAAUGCGUUGAUAUCAGGAGGAACACCCAUGGCGAAGGCAGCAAGCUGGUCGAUACCUGACGCUGAGGCGCGAAAAAGCGUGGGUAGCAAACAGGAUUAGAUACCCUGGUAGUCCACGCCCUAAACGAUGGAUGCCUAGGCGUAAGGGGGUAUCGACCCCCCUUGUGCCGCAGCUAACGCAACUAAGCAUCCCCGCCUGGGGGACUACGGCCGCAAGGUUGAAACUCAAAUGAAUUGACGGGGACCCGCAACAAGCGGUGGGAGCAUGUGGAUUAAUUCGAUACUAACCGAAAAGAACCUUACCCAGACUUGACAUCGCGAGAAGGAAAAGCGUAGAAAAAUGCGCUCCCCGGCCACAAGCCGGCUCAAAGACACUUGUUGCAUGGCUGUCGUCAGCUCGUGCCGUGAGGUGUACGGUUAAGUCCGCCAACGAGCGCAACCCACGUCCUGUGUUACCAGCGAGAGAGUCGGGCCACUCACAGGAGACCGCCGGUGUGUAAGCCGGAGGAAGGUGUGGAUGACGUCAAGGUCAGCAUGGCAGUUACGUCCUGGGGCUUCACACAUGCUACAAUGGACCGCAAACAGAGGGCCGCGAUACCGUGAGGUGGAGCCAAUCCCAGAAAUACGUCCUCAGUUCAGAUUGUAGUCUGCAACUCGACUACAUGAAGGCGGAAUCGCUAGUAAACGCAGGUCAGCUAUACUGCGUUGAAUACGUUCCCGGGUCUUGUACACACCGGCCCGUCAAGUCACUCGAAUUCGUUUUUCACCCGAAGUCCGUGGCCCAACCGCAAGGAGGGAGCGGCCGAAGGUGAGGGGGGUAAGAGGGACU
rnacentral:rRNA from 1 species